AGAACCCCAAGCAGGCUCCAUGCUCACCACGGAGCCUGAGCGGGGCUUGAUCUCAUGACCAUGAGAUCAUGGCCUGAGCUGAUAUCAAGAGUUGGACGCUUCACCGACUGAGCCACCGAGGCAUCCCAAUAUUUGGUUAUUAAAAGGUUUGGAUAAAAAGAUUUAAAUAUCAAAGAGUUAAGUUUUAAAGUUCAUUGGCGAACAUGGAAGCUUCUUUCUAACUGCUAACAGGACAGAGGCACUUCUCUCUCUGGAAAGAGGCAUGUGAAAUGAUCGACCUGGGCAGAGAAGCCCACGGAGGUGCCAAUACCAGGAUAAGGGGAAGAGCGGGGAAGUAGAGAGAAGGACCGAUUCGGUGGCAGGAGUUCAGAGCAGGUGCUUGGUGAGGGAGAGAUCGUGUUGAAGCGCAUUAGCACCGUGGAUUAUUAUGCAAGCAAAGGAAUCCCACGUAAACGUUGUCACACGGUGCCUUCAGGUUCCUGGGCACCUAGGAAAGAAGUCCUACUAGCGGCAGCAAAGCAAACAGCCCUGCCAGCCACCGGCCGUGAGUCCACCUGACUGCCCUGAGCCUUGCUCACCAGUGAAGCGCCUAGGACCACGUCUAUUAGCACAGCGCCCUAGGCCACACCCACCACCAAAGUGUCCUGCGCUGUGCCAGUUGGGGAACAUCAGCAAAAAGCCGUGACUGCCGCUUGACCCGGGCUUCCGGCGGCUCCUCACCCCAUCCCCUGUCCCAGGAACCGGGUCCUGCCUUCCUUUCCUGCCCCCAAAGGCUGCUCCGAGGACUCAGCCUUGAGAUGCCAUGCGGUGUUGAGAACACCCGCCCUGAAGCCGGUCAAGGCCUCCCUGCAGGUGAACUUUCAGGGGCGGGGACCAUCCAUCCCUCUUGCUGCGGCUGCACACAAGCCUCUUAUGCAAGUCCCUUUUACUUGUUCUAAGGGCCACCUACCAACCGGAGUGGCCUGCCUGUCCCUUAGGUCGUUCCCUGCCGUCCCAGGAAGGGCCGCUUCCAGGUUACACCGCAGAAGGUCCUGUAGGGUUACCCACCACCAACGUGCCCACCAACCAAGUGCUCCCCUCAGCCAUGCAGCAGUGUCCUGCCGUGUGGCCACCUCAACCCUGCCAGCUCGGUUGCCCACCUGGGUCGCGGCGCCUGGGUUCUUUGGGGAGCCUUCCUCGGACUCAGCGCUGUCUUCUCUUCUCCAAAUGCCCCUGGGGGAACAACCGGCUUUUCCUUCAGCUUCAGCUUUCUCUGCCUGGGAGGACACGGGGCAUGAGAGAGGCUGGAUGACUGCAGCUUUUCUCGUGCUUUUUGGAGUCGGCUUCUCUUUCCUGGAGGCGGCGAGCACUUAGCAUCCCUAGUGCGCUGGCUUCUUAGAGCCCGGAAACCCAGAGCAGCGGGAUCUAGCUCAGCUCUGUCCUGUGGCCACGGGUGUCUUGUCUCCCUGUGCUGUGCACACCCUGGGCCCUACUCCCAUCCCCAGGCUGCCAUGCUUCAUUAAUAAAGCACAUUUCUGUGGGACACAGA